rnacentral:rRNA from 1 species
UACGUAGGGGGCAAGCGUUGUCCGGAUUCAUUGGGCGUAAAGAGCGUGUAGGCGGCCAGGUAGGUCGGUUGUGAAAACUGGAGGCUCAACCUUCAGAGGUCGACCGAAACCAUCUGGCUAGAGUCCGGGAGAGGAGAGUGGAAUUCCCGGUGUAGCGGUGAAAUGCGCAGAUAUCGGGAGGAACACCAAUGGCGAAGGCAGCUCGCUGGGACGGUACUGACGCUGAGACGCGAAAGCGUGGGGAGCAAACAGGAUUAGAAACCCUUGAU